rnacentral:sRNA from 1 species
CUUUGCAUCCACAAAUACUAUCAUCUCUACUUCAAUGGCAUUGUUAUAGAUCUAGAUCUUAUAUCAGCUUCAAUGAUCUAGUCUAGUCAACAUAGUAGGCCGUAAGCAGCCUACUAUGAUGCCAGAAUCAAAUGUAACUAUCGGAUUCGUCUUAAAGUUAAAUACAUGAAAGAGUUUAAUGCUACAAAUUAGACGAUAGUAGUGUUAAAAGUUUGUACCUAUAUAUGUGUCAGUCAACAGAAACAAUGCUUUUCGCCCACACGUUUCAACGUAAUUGUAUUUGUUGUUAUUAAAAACCGGAUUAGGAACUAAAUGAAACUGGACAUGGCCGGGAACGUCUCGUCAAGCUCUAGUAAAUCGAGUAACUUACCACCAGAGAAGAAAUUGAGACUUCAAAAAGCCGAUGGUGUAUCGGUCAGUGGUUCGACCCUGGAAA